CCUACGGGUGGCAGCAGUGAGGAAUAUUGGGCAAUGGGCGCGAGCCUGAACCAGCCAAGCAGCGUGAAGGAAGACGGCCCUAGGGGUUGUAAACUUCUUUUAUAAAGGAAUAAAGUGCGGCACGUGUGCCGUUUUGGAUGUGCCUUAUGAAUAAGGAUCGGCUAACUCCGUGCCAGCAGCCGCGGUAAUACGGAGGAUCCGAGCGUUAUCCGGAUUUAUUGGGUUUAAAGGGAGCGUAGGUGGGUAGUUAAGUCAGUUGUGAAAGUUUGCGGCUCAACCGCAAAAUUGCAGUUGAUACUGGCAGUCUUGAGUACAGUUGAGGUAGGCGGAAUUCGUGGUGUAGCGGUGAAAUGCUUAGAUAUCACGAAGAACUCCGAUUGCGAAGGCAGCUUACUAGACUGCAACUGACGUUGAGGCUCGAAAGUGUGGGUAUCAAACAGGAUUAGAUACCCCUGUAGUC
rnacentral:rRNA from 1 species